UAUCACUGUUCAAGAAAAGCAACAGGUCACAAACUCAUUGGGAACCCCUACAAGAAAGCAGAAGUUUGUUUUCUAUGAUUCAGAAGGAUCGAGGGUUGAAGGAAUCAUCUUCAAUGAUGACAUUCCUAGAAUGAGCCAGAUCUUGCAGGUUUAUAAAAAGUAUAAAAUCUCCAAUGCUGAGGUCAGGCCUAUACCACAAAAGUUCCAGACAUCUGACCUUACCAUUCAGUGGGUGAUCAGUAGCAGGACUGUCAUUGAUGAAAUUCCUGAUGAUGAUGCAGUCAUGGCUGUGAAAUUCUGCUAUUCAAAGUUUACUGAUUUAGUUCAGUACAUGGAUGACAAAACUAAAUCAGUCGACGUGCUGGGAGUCGUGAUUAGUGCGCUCGAGAGGAAAACAAUUACCAAAAACUCAAGGCAAUCAGAUGUUCAGAAAUUUGUCC